UUUUUCUCCCUCAACUCUUCUUGACAGCCUCCAACCGCCCCUCUCUCUCCCUCUCGUCUUCCUCCUCUCCCUCUCUCCAGCCGUCUCUCUCUCCCUCCAUUCUUUCCGGUGGAAAUCGCCACCUCCAAGUGGUGGCAGCCUCCUCUCUCUCCUCGCCCUUCUCCUUCCCUUCCCCUUCUUUCUCUCCAUUUUUUUUGUAGGCGAGAGCAGAGGACGACUCUGAGCAGACCACCGGCAGCAGCAGUCACCGGCGAGAACAGCCUGCGCAGCAGCAGCGCCUGGAGAGGCGCACGAUAGUAGCAGCAGCGGCCAGCAGACGACGACGACCAGCAGCUUGGUGAGGCCAUGGCAAGCAGCAGCUUUAAUCGACGAGCAACAGCAUCCGGCGACCCCUCUUUCCUUCUCUCCUCUUCAGCGACCAGCAGCCCUGCAAAGCUAGCUUUGAAUUCGAUCUGCAGCUCCAGCGACACCAGCGCCACCAGCAACAGCCAGCAGUCGCCGGCGAGAACUCCUGCGCCAGCCAGCAGCCCCGGCGGCCGUCUGUCUCUCCUCUCUUCUCUAUUUCCUUCUCUCCUCUUCUCAGGCGAGCAACGACCCCCUCAGCAACAGCAACCAGCAGCCAACGCCGCCAUCCUCCAGUGGAACUCCGGCCAAUAGUCUUUGGUAACGUGUAUUAGCCCAUUACUUUAGCCGCAAAAACAGAUCAGUCCUGGUAAUAUUUCCCUAUUUCGCUUCCUUUAUCAUUUUUAUUCCUUGUCUACUUGUGUGAUCUCACAUAUUUUUUUUAUUAUUAUUUUUAACUUUGUUGUUCAUGUUCUAGAAAUUCUGCUUGGUUAUGAUUCGUUAUGAAUUGAAUUGAGUUCUAAUAUGAUUAGAUUGCUUAUAAUGAUCUUUCAAUGAUAAAUACUCAUUUCAAUCUAAAUCAGCUCCAAAUUUGUUUGGUUCUUCCUAUUAAUUCAGUAUAUGUUUCACUAAUUGUAGUUGUUGAAUAUCUUGGAUAUAGAGUAGAUUAUUCAUUAAGUCUCUGUGUAAUUGAUUGUGCACCUUAGCAAUUUUAGAGUAAGUAGUACAUUUAUUCUGAUUUAAUAAUUGAUUUCUUGAUUCCGGAACUAAUUAUGAUGAGAUUAUGUGAUUUUUUAAAAAAUAUGUGAAAGGGAUUAACUCUAAUUCUGAGAUUUUUACGUGUUUCCAUCAUGGUAAGUAUAAAUCCCUAAUCUGCAUGACAAUAUGCCUUUCCUUAUAUCAUUUUACAUUGCAUAAAUUGGUCUUCUUAAUUGUUUACUUGCUUAUCUUAAAUAAAUCAAAAUAGAUUCGUACUAGCUUUAUUUUGGUAAAAUUAUGGAUGAUUUAUGUUGAUGUAUUUUUUUGUAAUAUUUUUAUCUAAAGAAAAUUAAUCCCUCCUCCCAUUGAUAUUUGGAUUGAUUAAUUCUUACUGGUUUGUUUAUGACAACCUUAUUAUUUCCUUGUCAUAUUUAGUCGCUCAUAUUUUGGUAAAAUAAAUUAAAUCUGAUUUUAAAUUUUUUUUUAUUUUAAGGAAAAUAUUUUUAUUCCAAAUUUUUAUUCUUACUUGUUUAUAUUUGGUAAUGAAAUAUUUUUAAAAUUAUUCUGAUUUGUCUCUCUUUUAAAAUAAGGAAAAGGGAAUAUUAAUUGAUUCCUUAAAAAUAUUUCUUUUCCUUAUUUGUUUCCCCCUCUUUGGUAUAUAAAUAAGACCCCUUUUACUCAUCAACUCAUCAACUCAACAACUCAGAUACUCAUUCACUCUCAAUCAAAAAAUUCUCUCAUCACUCUCCCUUCUCUCAUUGCUCUCUUGCUACUUUAACAAUACAUUGAGAAUCCGAUAAUUAUUAAAGUGUUCUUCUUCGCUAUUUUGCUACUUUGUUCGAGUAAAAGGUGAAUCAAUUUGUUUUGCUUAACCGUUAUUUGAUUACUUUGACAGGUUUCAAACUUGAAGUUCGAGUUGAAGAUUAACUGAAGAAGGAUUUAUUUAUUUGUUUGAAUAUAUAUAUAUAUCUAUAUAUUUUUAUUUUUUCGCUAUUUUAUUUAUUCGAAUGUUGUAACAAUUGUAAUCCUAAAGAUCAUAUAAUAAAUUUAUUUGUGGGUCGUCUAGGGGAGGGGGAUUUAUAUGUUUAUUAGUUCAUUCUAAUUUUUAGAAAUCAUGCCUAUAGGUUUGUCUUUAACCACCUAGAUUUAAUAUUUGUAGGUGUUAUAAUCUAAUCAAUUUUUAAUUUGCUUGAUGCUUUCGUUAAUAAAUCUUAAAAAUAAUAACUAGAUUCCAUUAAUUUUUUUUAAAUAUAAAAAUCAAGUCCUAAUAAUAUAAUAGGUUGUUAGAUGUUAAAAUAUGUAAUAAAUUUUCAGUCGUCUUAUAACGUAG
rnacentral:lncRNA from 1 species